rnacentral:tRNA from 1 species
GCCCCGGUGGUGUAGCCCGGCAAGCAUAGACCUGUGUGGGGUGCAACGGCCUCUCGAGCCGCAGAUCCCGGGUUCAAAUCCCGGCCGGGGCA